AGAGUUAAACAGUACGUGAAAUUGUUGAAAGGGAAACGCUUGAAACCAGUCAUGUCGGCGGGAAAUCAGCCGGGCCCUCGGGCACGGUGCACUUUCUCGUCGGCAGGCCAGCAGCAGUUUUGGCUGCCGGAAAAAGGCCAGGGGAAGGUGGCUCCAGCUCGCUGGAGUGUUAUAGCCCCUGGUUUUGAUACGGCGGCCGGGACUGAGGAACGCAGCCAACCCUUCUGGGGCUGGGUGCCCGCCUGCUGCGCUCCUGGGCGCGUGUGGAAAGCUUGCUUUCCCCAUGCGUGUUGGGGGGCACUCGGGUGGAGCAUCUCACGAUGGCUAAGGUUGCUGGCGUAAUGGUUUUAAACGACC
rnacentral:rRNA from 1 species